GACGAACGCUGGCGGCGUGCUUAACACAUGCAAGUCGAACGGAAAGGCCCUGCUUUUGUGGGGUGCUCGAGUGGCGAACGGGUGAGUAACACGUGAGUAACCUGCCCUUGACUUUGGGAUAACUUCAGGAAACUGGGGCUAAUACCGGAUAGGAGCUCCUGCUGCAUGGCGGGGGUUGGAAAGUUUCGGCGGUUGGGGAUGGACUCGCGGCUUAUCAGCUUGUUGGUGGGGUAGUGGCUUACCAAGGCUUUGACGGGUAGCCGGCCUGAGAGGGUGACCGGCCACAUUGGGACUGAGAUACGGCCCAGACUCCUACGGGAGGCAGCAGUGGGGAAUAUUGCACAAUGGGCGGAAGCCUGAUGCAGCAACGCCGCGUGCGGGAUGACGGCCUUCGGGUUGUAAACCGCUUUCGCCUGUGACGAAGCGUGAGUGACGGUAAUGGGUAAAGAAGCACCAGCUAACUACGUG
rnacentral:rRNA from 1 species